UACGGGGGGGGCAAGCGUUGUUCGGAAUUACUGGGCGUAAAGGGCUCGUAGGCGGCCAACUAAGUCGGACGUGAAAUCCCCAGGCUCAACCUGGGAACUGCGUCCGAUACUGGAUGGCUUGAAUCCGGAAGAGGGAUGCAGAAUUCCAGGUGUAGCGGUGAAAUGCGUAGAUAUCUGGAGGAAUACCGGUGGCGAAGGCGGCAUCCUGGACCGGCAUUGACGCUGAGGAGCGAAAGCCAGGGGAGCAAACGGG
rnacentral:rRNA from 1 species